rnacentral:rRNA from 1 species
CACCGGAAAAAGAGGAGUGGCGAACGGGUGAGUAACACGUGGGUAACCUGCCCAUCAGAAGGGGAUAACACUUGGAAACAGGUGCUAAUACCGUAUAACAAUCAAAACCGCAUGGUUUUGAUUUGAAAGGCGCUUUCGGGUGUCGCUGAUGGAUGGACCCGCGGUGCAUUAGCUAGUUGGUGAGGUAACGGCUCACCAAGGCCACGAUGCAUAGCCGACCUGAGAGGGUGAUCGGCCACAUUGGGACUGAGACACGGCCCAAACUCCUACGGGAGGCAGCAGUAGGGAAUCUUCGGCAAUGGACGAAAGUCUGACCGAGCAACGCCGCGUGAGUGAAGAAGGUUUUCGGAUCGUAAAACUCUGUUGUUAGAGAAGAACAAGGAUGAGAGUAACUGUUCAUCCCUUGACGGUAUCUAACCAGAAAGCCACGGCUAACUACGUGCCAGCAGCCGCGGUAAUACGUAGGUGGCAAGCGUUGUCCGGAUUUAUUGGGCGUAAAGCGAGCGCAGGCGGUUUCUUAAGUCUGAUGUGAAAGCCCCCGGCUCAACCGGGGAGGGUCAUUGGAAACUGGGAGACUUGAGUGCAGAAGAGGAGAGUGGAAUUCCAUGUGUAGCGGUGAAAUGCGUAGAUAUAUGGAGGAACACCAGUGGCGAAGGCGGCUCUCUGGUCUGUAACUGACGCUGAGGCUCGAAAGCGUGGGGAGCAAA